rnacentral:snRNA from 1 species
AGCUUUGCACAGUGGCAGUAUCGUAGCCAAUGAGGUUUAUCCGAGGCACGUUUAUUGCUAAUAGAAAACUUUUCCUAAUUAUCUUCGGGUUUUAUUUUAUGCUACAGAUUUUUUUCCCGACCCAGAAAAAAUAUUAACUCAUUUUUUCUACACAGGCAG